rnacentral:rRNA from 1 species
AACGAACGCUGGCGGCAGGCUUAACACAUGCAAGUCGAACGCCUGUAGCAAUACAGGAGUGGCAGACGGGUGAGUAACACGUGGGAACCUUCCUCGUAGUACGGAACAACUCAGGGAAACUUGAGCUAAUACCGUAUACGUCCGAGAGGAGAAAGAUUUAUCGCUAUGAGACGGGCCCGCGUCCGAUUAGGUAGUUGGUGGGGUAACGGCCUACCAAGCCGACGAUCGGUAGCUGAUCUGAGAGGAUGAUCAGCCACACUGGGACUGAGACACGGCCCAGACUCCUACGGGAGGCAGCAGUGGGGAAUCUUGGACAAUGGGCGCAAGCCUGAUCCAGCCAUGCCGCGUGAGUGAAGAAGGCCUUAGGGUUGUAAAGCUCUUUUGCCAGGGACGAUAAUGACGGUACCUGGAGAAUAAGCCCCGGCAAACUUCGUGCCAGCCGCCGCUGUAAUAC